UACAGAGGAGCCAAGCGUUGUCCGGAUUGACUGGGCGUAAAGCGCACGCAGGCGGUUCUGUGCGUGGGGUGUGAAAUCUGGCCGCUUAACGGCCAGGCGCCAUCCCAUACGGCAGGACUGGAGUGAUGCAGAGGUCGAUGGAAUUGCCGGUGUAGUGGUGAAAUGCGCAGAGAUCGGGAGGAACACCCGUAGCGAAGGCGGCACUCUGGGCCGAUACUGACGCUGAGGAGCGAAAGCGUGGGGAGCGAACAGG
rnacentral:rRNA from 1 species